CCUACGGGAGGCAGCAGUGAGGAAUAUUGGUCAAUGGGCGCGAGCCUGAACCAGCCAAGUAGCGUGAAGGAUGACUGCCCUACGGGUUGUAAACUUCUUUUAUAAAGGAAUAAAGUGAGGCACGUGUUCCUUUUUGUGUGUACUUUAUGAAUAAGGAUCGGCUAACUCCGUUCCGGCAGCCGCGGUAAUACUGAGGAUCCGAGCGUUAUCCGGAUUUAUUGGGUUUAAAGGGAGCGUAGAUGGGUUGUUAAGUCAGUUGUGAAAGUCUGCGGCUCAACCGUCAAAUUGCCAUUGAAACUGGCAGUCUUGAGUACAGUGGAGGUAGGCGGAAUUCGUGGUGUAGCGGUGAAAUGCUUAGAUAUCACGAAGAACUCCAAUUGCGAAGGCAGCUUACUAAAAUGCCACUGACAUUUAUGCUCGAAAGUGUGGGUAUCAAACAGGAUUAGAUACCCGGGUAGUC
rnacentral:rRNA from 1 species